rnacentral:rRNA from 1 species
UACGUAGGGUGCGAGCGUUAAUCGGAAUUACUGGGCGUAAAGGGUGCGCAGGCGGCUCCGCAUGUCGGGCGUGAAAUCCCCGGGCUUAACCUGGGAAUUGCGUCCGAAACUAUGGAGCUGGAGUGUGGCAGAGGGAGGUGGAAUUCCACGUGUAGCGGUGAAAUGCGUAGAGAUGUGGAGGAACACCGAUGGCGAAGGCAGCCUCCUGGGCCAACACUGACGCUCAUGCACGAAAGCGUGGGGGAGCAAACAGG